rnacentral:lncRNA from 1 species
UGAUUCUGAUGUUGGCUUUGUCAAAUAAUGUCUUGAAUUUGUUGUUCCUGCAUAAACAAGCUAAGAGUACAAGUGGAACUAGUUAUGGAUAAAAUAUGUUCAUGUCAUGUCAUUUCCCCUUGAAACCGAGGCAUGUUGACGGUGUUUUGUAUGUGGAUUUCUAUGGUAUAUCCACCGUCAACAAGAUCCCCCAAGCUUAACCUUUGCUCGUCCCGAGCAAACAAUCAAACUUAGCCUCGGUGGAUCAGGUAUUGUUACUAUGUUCACAUUUCAAGAGUACCAUGUGUACAACAAAGUUCUUCUCUUUGCAUGAAAAAUUUAGCUAUGUAAACUUACCCCUAUUACCUUAGUCCCUUAUGGGGCUUAUGGCUUUUCCUUUGUCUUAGGUGGUUGAGAGACAGAACAGUUUGACUUGAGCACUAACUUUCUCAUUCUUAGCAAGUUUCAUAUCAGAGGUUUUGUGAUAUUUUCAAAAGAAAGCUUAAAUGUUCCUCUUAUGGUUCUCUCAUGUCACUCAAAUGGUGUAUGAUUCCUCACCAAGGCAUAUGGUAAGAGUUGCCUUCUCUAUUUCAUCCUAUUUCUAAAAGGCUUAUGUGGAGUUCAAGGUAGGGAUGAAAGGAGAUAGCAUACUUACUUUGCAUGUAUUGCGAAGUCAAAGCUCGGAUCCUUGAAAAGAAGUGUCAUACUCCCAGAUCAAGAUGUGCAAGUGUGAUAUAUGGUGGACUAGGUUGCUCCUUUAUUUGAUAGACUCUCUAUGUAUUGAGACAUGGCUAGCAUUUUUUUUUUCUUCGAGCUUUCAUGUGCUCAAUUUUCUUUUUCUGUGGACUUGCACAUGUCCAUCUUUUUAUUUUUCUUUUAUUUUGCCAAGCCUUUUGAUGUCUCAUUUACCAAAUAAUGCUUAGAGAGAUGUUCUAACAUUUAGAGUAUGGAGCAACCUAUUUAGUGGAUGCGAAAUACAUGUGGUUGCGUACUUCCAGUGUAGAAGUAGCAUGUAUAUAUGUGGUGUGUACGUGAUCUUGAUCUUAGGAGCAUGAAAAGUCUCUUAACAAGGGUCAACAAGACUUGACGACACUCAACACAAAGCAAAUAGCUUAUGUGGAAAGAUUGCAAUUAUGUAAAGUAGAUAUGGCUGUGGUAGGAAUUCAUCACCAUUGAGGAACAAUUAAGGUUUUGAUCAUUUUAAGAAUAAAUCUCUGAUAAUCAUGCAUGCUUAGAAAAAUAUUAUAGUAGCUCUUGUCUUACUAUCUCAUGUCCCACAACAACUUAGACUUAGUUCUAGCACUUGCAACCCACAAAGUUUUUAGGUUCAUGGCAGUUUAAGUGAGCUAAGUGAUCCAUACUUAGAGAAAUACUAAGUUGUAUACUAGGCACU